AUUUUUUUUGUGUUGCAAAAAUUUGUCACUUACUCACGAGGCACCUAAUCGGAGACGUACAACGUGUGAUUGUGAGCGUUCUCAGUAGUAAACAAAACGAGGCGUUGAAGAGGGCUGCGUCUGCUUUUGCGGUUGCGUUGGCAACCGCCACGCGAAGAAGAUGGUCACAAAAAAAAAAAAUUGAAAACUGAAGCACAACCCUGAGACACUUUCGUUUUGUACCACAAAUUGGUCAUGUCCGUUAUGAUAGCCACACAUCAAAGCAGCAGCAGCAGCAGAAGCAGAUGCUUUGCCAGACAUGGCUACUCAUCAAGAUGAGUUUGAUUGUGGCGCCUUUCUUUGAUGAAAUGCUUUUUGAGUUUUAUUUCGCAUAAAUGUGUGUACAAUAUACUAUAUAAUAUAUUCGAUAUAAUAGUAAAGUUUAA